rnacentral:rRNA from 1 species
CCUACGGGUGGCAGCAGUGGGGAAUAUUGCACAAUGGGGGAAACCCUGAUGCAGCGACGCCGCGUGAAGGAAGAAGUAUUUCGGUAUGUAAACUUCUAUCAGCAGGGAAGAAAGUGACGGUACCUGACUAAGAAGCCCCGGCUAACUACGUGCCAGCAGCCGCGGUAAUACGUAGGGGGCAAGCGUUAUCCGGAUUUACUGGGUGUAAAGGGAGCGCAGGCGGCGAUGCAAGUCAGGAGUGAAAGCCCGGGGCCCAACCCCGGGACUGCUUUUGGAACUGCAUGGCUGGAUUGCAGGAGGGGCAGGUGGAAUUCCUGGUGUAGCGGUGAAAUGCGUAGAUAUUAGGAGGAACACCAGUGGCGAAGGCGGCUUGCUGGACUGUAAAUGACGCUGAGGCUCGAAAGCGUGGGGAGCAAACAGGAUUAGAUACCCUAGUAGUC